UUGAGGGAGGGUCUCCGACUAGAGCAGCAGGAGCAAGGAGCUCGAGGAGGUUCAGGUUUGCCUCUACAUCCUUUCUCUUUCCUCCACUUUCUUCUUGCAUUUAGAUGAUAGAAUUUGUGAUCAUGUGUAUGUGCAUUUAUGAGAUCUUUGCUGCUAGGUAUAUAGUUUAUGGUUACUGAAAUUGGAUAAUAGAGAGUCGCAACUUCAGUUUUCAAUUACAGUAGUUGAUGUGUUAUGUUUGCUGCAAUAUGUCAUGUGUGUUUGAGAGAGAGGGAUGAAAAAGAGGGGACUGGAAGCUUGAUCAUUGCCAGGAUCUAGAUUCAAAGAGAGGGAUAAAAAAGAAGGGACAUGGAUUCAGAGAGGGAUGAAAACAGGGGACUGAAAGAUCUUGCAUUGCGUUUCUUCAUCUACCAAUACGGUUUUGUGUACCAUUUGAACAUAACCAAGCAGUAUAACAAAAGUGUGCUGGUUUAUGGCUUCUCAUGGGAUGUGAUUCUGGUCAUGCUGCUUGUUAUGAAGGACAAGAUUUCGCGGCGGAAGUUUGGAGGAAAUGGGGAGUCCCGAUCAACUACGAAGCUGAUAAAGAUCUGGAGGAAUUCUUGUUGGUGGCUGAAUUCAAACGGUCCCAGAUCCGCC